CUGCAUCCACGACAAUUUUCUUCUCGUGCAACAGACGACACGACAGCUCUACAACCUCAGGCAACCCCGUGUCAUGCUCAAGCUCGACAUUGCACGUCAUUCCUACUCGACACCCUUCAUCACCUCAGCUUUGGUCGACGCUGGUGUGAAUGGGUAUGCAUCAUCCUCGGCAUGGCCAGCACGCGCGUCCUCAUCAACAGCAACCCAGGACCUCCGAUCAUCCGCCGGUGCGGCUUCCGGCAGGGUGACCCACUAUCCCCAAUGCUCUUCGUCAUGGUCAUCGACAACCUCAAUUCCUUGCUUUGUCGAGCAGUGGCCGACGGUGUUCUCCAGCGCCUUACUGCCCGCCACAUGGCAUCCAACAUCUCCCUCUACGCCGAUGAGGCGGUGAUCUUCUGCCAUCCGAACGUGCAC
rnacentral:rRNA from 1 species